rnacentral:rRNA from 1 species
AUUGAACGCUGGCGGCAGGCCUAACACAUGCAAGUCGAACGAGUGGCGGACGGGUGAGGAAUGUCUGGGAAACUGCCCGAUUGAGGGGGAUAACUACUGGAAACGGUAGCUAAUACCGCAUACCAUCGGAUGUGCCCCGAUGGGAUUAGCUAGUAGGUGGGGUAACGGCUCACCUAGGCGACGGUCCCUAGCUGGUCUGAGGGGAUGACCAGGAACCCUGGAACUGAGACAAGGUCCAGACUCCGACGGGAGGCCGCAGGGGGGAAUAUUGCACAAUGGGAGCAAGCCUGAUGCAGACAUGCCGCGUGUAUGAAGAAGGCCUUCGGGUUGUAAAGUACUUUCAGCUAGGAGGCGUUACUAGCAGAAGAAGCACCGGCUAACUCCGUGCCAGCAGCCGCGGUAAUAC